CUACGGGGGGCACCAGUGGGGAAUAUUGCACAAUGGGCGCAAGCCUGAUGCAGCCAUGCCGCGUGUAUGAAGAAGGCCUUCGGGUUGGAAAGUAAUUUCAGCGGGGAGGAAGGGAGUAAAGUUAAUACCUUUGCUCAUUGACGUUACCCGCAGAAGAAGCACCGGCUAACUCCGUGCCAGCAGCCGCGGUAAUACGGAGGGUGCAAGCGUUAAUCGGGAUUACUGGGCGUAAAGCGCACGCAGGCGGUUUGUUAAGUCAGAUGUGAAAUCCCCGGGCUCAACCUGGGAACUGCAUCUGAUACUGGCAAGCUUGAGUCUCGUAGAGGGGGGUAGAAUUCCAGGUGUAGCGGUGAAAUGCGUAGAGAUCUGGAGGAAUACCGGUGGCGAAGGCGGCCCCCUGGACGAAGACUGACGCUCAGGUGCGAAAGCGUGGGGAGCAAACAGGAUUAGAUACCCGUGUAGUC
rnacentral:rRNA from 1 species